rnacentral:misc_RNA from 1 species
AUAAAAGUCUUCCUCUUCCUCGACCUGCUAUUUCCGGCCUUGGGAUUGAUCAUGGACCCGGGAAUGGAUCUGGGUCGAGUUCGGUCUCCAGUAUUAGUUCUUCCGGGUCUUCGGAUGAUCAUCCAUCUGCUCAAGAACAGCUUCAAUUUGGAGCUUACAGAGGAUUUGUCGAUACGAGAAUCGAGACAAGGCCAAGAAGUCCAGGUCCAGGAUCAAAAGGACCCACCAGUCCUACAUCACCUCUCAAUCCACGGCUCUGUGGCAUGAGUCUGGAGUCUCCUACAACUCAUAAGCUGCCGCUUCCUCCAAGCCCUUCUUCCUUGAGCAGCACGAGAGCUAUCAAUAUCGGCGAUAAUAACGCAGCUAUACAAUCAAAGUGGAAGAAAGGAAG